rnacentral:rRNA from 1 species
CCCCUAGAUGUUCUGGGCCGCACGCGCGCUACACUGAACAGUUCAACAAGUCUUAACCUUGGCCGAUAGGUCUGGGUAAUCUUUGAACGCUGUUCGUGAUUGGGAUAGACCUUUGCAAUUAUGGGUCUUCAACGAGGAAUUCCUAGUAAACGCAAGUCAUCAGCUUGCAUUGAUUACGUCCCUGCCCUUUGUACACACCGCCCGUCGCACCUACCGAUUGAAUGGUCCGGUGAAAUCUCGGGACGGCGUGAGUCGGAGCAAUCUGACAAACACCGGAAAGUUGAUUAAACCUUACCAUUUAGAGGAAGGUGAAGUCGUAACA